GCAUAUUUCGUUCCAUCCACUGUGUGCUCUGAGCCUCGCUCAUCGGUUUGGCCCCAAUGGAAAUGAAACUGCCGCAAUCUAUACGUUCCAGUGAGAGGUCCACCGGUCAGCACUGCAAAAUGCAUGAAAUAAGGUAAUAAGACUCUCUGAGGAGGAACCUAGUCCCGAGUGAUUCCAUAUGGAGUUAUACUGCCACUUUACACUAUUCUCAGUAAUAGGAAACUACUGAUAUCUGCCUUUGCAGAUGUCCACAGCUGACGUCAGGAACUUCAGAUACUAUUGUGCAAGUAAUGUUAAAACCUGUAAAACUUGUGGCAUGGAUGCCUAGGAAUAUAUCAGCUUUUAGGAAUGUAGAGAAUAAGGUUAAUGUUACGGAAGAGCUCUUGAGCUCACGAAGAGCUCAUGAACUAGGAUUCAAAGGAGAAGAAUCCAGUAUUUCUUUGAAUAGACUUACCACUUUUUUUAAUUCCUGAAGUUACAAUGUGGCUGUACCAUCAGCCUUUCUCCAGAUGACAAAGAAAUUAGGUUUGACUUUAAACAAAGUCCCAGGAAGUAAGAUGAUGCAACUUAGGAAGGGUGGCUGAUAUCUCACUGCUUGUUGCACAGCACUUGCCAUUUGGGCAACUUCUUUCAGUUCCCUCUUCUACUUGACCAAAAAUAUUUCAAGGCUUUUUACAACAACUUCAUGCUAGGAGGAAAGACUUCUGAACUCAAAGAGAACUGAACUUAUUUCCAAAAUAAAAGCUUUUUGCAUACUGCAACAGGGAUUGAAGUAAAUGAUCCAUAAAUGCGAGUUAAAAUACUAUGAUUUGAAGCAUUUUAUAAUUAUUUUUGUGGCUCUCGUGCAUUCCUCCAGAGUAUUUGUAGUCCAGAUGUUGUCACAUUAUACUAAUGCAUCAGAAAUAUGGGACUAAAUUGCUGAAACGGCAACCACAAUAAAUGUCCCAGCAGCACAGAGAGCAUAGGAAGGCUGAGGAUCAGGGAUGGUAACGAGCUUCUUCAAACACAAGCCUGUAUGCCAUCAACCACUGAUUAUUGCCUCCACAUUUUAGGCUAUCCACACUCCGCAGGGAAAGUGUUAGCACCUUUCCAGGAAACUGGGAUUAAAGAAACGUGAUAUCCUUGGCAAAACCUUCACAGUAUAAAUAGAAGUGGAUCCCAGGCUUUUCAGAUGAUUGUGGACAAAGUUUUAAUGUCUAAAGCCCUGAGCCUGCAAACCACUAUAGAUGUGUCUAACUUUAUGCAUAGCAGGACACCUGUUGACCUUAUUUGUGAGUAGGAAAUUAAAACUGAACAUAGUAUAGGAAUUAAUGGAAAAUAAUCUUGUUUUAAGCACACUGGCCAGAAAAAACAGAAAACUUUUCUGAAAAACAUUAGAUUACAAGAAUGUUCAAAGGAUUUUUUUUCAUUUUUUAAGUGUCAAAUGCUACAUCUUGAUAGUGAACUUAUUUGUGAAAAAAAAAAACCCUACAAACAGUUUUAAAAAUAUUUCACUAGCUCUCCUAGUGAUCUUUUUUAAUGUUUACCGAGAAUCAAGAUAAUGUUAUUUGUAAUGCUCUGGUCAAAAUUAAAUAAGCUGUAUUAGAUAAUCUUCCCUUACAGCUAUUGUAAAUACACCAGUGGGAGGAAAGUUGCAAAGUUAUGAAAGUUUUGGAGUGAAGUAGAAGGAGGGCACUUCCAAGCCAUCAGGUGUCGCUUGAUCUGAGGAAGCAAAGUAACGCAUAGGGUGGAAGAGAUAAGGAUAGCCUUAAAAAUAAAGUAAGACGUAGUAAAUAUUGGCCUGUGGCAUAAAGGCAGGAGAUAAUAGGACCCCAAUAGUUGUUAAAGAGCUGUUGUCUCAUAUUACCUCGUGCCUGCUUCCUGCACCGGGCUUUGCUAAUGGGAGAGAUACAGCUCAGUUUGUCCAUGCAUGGCUGGUUAUUGUGGGUAGGAUCAAACCUGGCCCCUCUUUGUGAGGGGAAAAAUGUCAGCUUAACUGAGGAGUUUUAUCUGCUAUGGGAUAUAUCUUUUUAAUGCUAACCGAGCAUUUAAUUUCAAGUGAUGAAAGAUAAUACAUCUCUAUUUGCAGACAGACUUAUAAAAUAUAAAACUAUCUGUCCUAUAACUCCCUGUCCCAGUUAUGAGGACACCCGAAGUCUGAAGCAAGGAAAAAAGGUUAUGUCCAAAUAAUGAAGUAUCCAUCAUCUUUCCUUUUUACCAGGUGUUCCAUGAGCCUAUGUAGUGCAUAUUUUCUAGCAAAUACCAACAAAACAUUAUGAAUGUCAUUAUGUACCUCAUAUUCAGGGAAUAUAUUGAAUUUGACUUAAUACGUUUAAAUACUGGAACAGAUUUGUAUGGGGAAAAAAAACCAAAAUCAACCUCAUAUGGUGGACAUGACAUGGUAAUAAAUAGACUUUUUAUUAUUUGCAGUUUUACUGAUACAAGAUUAAACAAUCUAUAGCAGAAAUGAUGGGGUAGUUCUAUGGGGUUUAUUUUCCUUUCAAUUCUCUACCUUACUAUGAAAGAAGCAUAUAUAGCUGCAACAAACUUAAUCUGGUUUAUAGAUAUAACAUAUGAAAGACAGACUGCUGUGAUGGUAAGUUUUACUUGCCCUGCGUGAGGGGUUUUUAGCCCUUUAUUUCCACAUGCUUAAACAUUUACCAGCAAAGAUACAAAAAAUCAAAGCCUACUGAAAGCAACCUUGCUCUUCUUGGUUAACUUUCAUCUUGAAAAGAAUCCACAGACCCCAGGACUUGGGAGCAGAAGCUGAAAAUCACAUUUCUGUGCCAUGAGACUGCUGAAAAUUGUUACCUCUGUGAUACAUUUUCAGGAUUUGGACCCUUUAGUUGGAGCUGCUGAUCAGUUUGAAUAUAGCUUUGCCAAGUACUACUGCUAUUGCUUGGGAACAAAUUUGAGAUGUAUGGAUGGAGCAGAUGUUUGUCCAAGGUAACCAAACGUUCAAAUUUUGGAGUUCUGCACCAAAGAGUAUGUAAUUAAUUACUUCAGUGGUCGGUGAAAACACCUAUAUUCUGGAAGUUGCAUUAGGCAUAACUGAAUCUCAUGAUUUCAUACAAAAUCGACUGACGGAUAAAUAGCAAAAGAGAAAUGCCUUCUUUCAGAGGUAUUACUGACUCUGGAAACUGCAGUGGUUUAAUCAGAACAUCGCUCCUGAUGGACAAAAACCGUUUUAAGCAGAAUGAGGGAGAGUCACCCCCCUCCUCCUGCCCUGAAGGCUUUCAGCAGGGAGCUGUGCCCUCUGCUGCCUGCUUCAGUGCAGUGAAGAAACACCAGUCAGAAACUCAGCCUGCGUACCUUUGACCUGAAACACGGGUGAAAUGCGACAAUUCAAAGACGUCUUCUAUCAUAACUAUUUUUAGAGGGUAAGGUUGUUGUCUGAAAGCAAGUUCUGAUUUAGGAUUUUUGGCAAAAUGCUACGGAAAGAUUGAAUUUGUGUUUUAUUGUAAGCUGCAUUGGGUGGCUGAGAAUGUUUGUUUGCUUGUUUCUAGUCUCCUAAGAGACUAAGCAGUGAAAAAACAGGAGCAACAGAAAUUCUGAGAAGUUUCUUUUUCUCUUUUCCGUGACAAAGCAUUAAAAUUAAUGGAAAAAAUGAGUAAAAAAGCGCUAACUCUGCUAUCAAAACAGCAGUAGCAAAACAAAUGGUACAUGGCUACUGCAAAGGUUAUUGUUCUUUUUAUUAUUGUUGAACUUUUUUCAUCAAAUGCUGCUUAAAACUCGAUUUGAGGUUUAUCUGGCUAUAUUUCUGGCUCACUGUUCUGACUUCAACUUGCCAUCCCGUUUAAUUUUCUGUCCACAUCGGUGAUAGUUACAAAGAAUAAUUUCUGUGAGCCAGUUAGGGAUGCAGUGCUUCUGUCAGAGUUUCUCAACAAAGAGACAGGGAAGAAAAUCCUAAUUUCAGUAUCAGCUGUUUUGCAAAAGUAUUUCUCAGCUCCUAAACUGCUGGAAAAACACCUGCACAGGUAACACAUGCAAGUUUUGUUACAAAUGUAAAAUGCACAUAUGUACCUAUGCAAAUAAGCAUAUUUAUGUAGCAUAGAUGUAGUUUCACUGAUUUCCAUUCUAAAGAUAUUAUUGUGCUAGCAGUGUUCUCUCUUUUCAUGCUCCACAUUAAACUCCAAAGGCAUAGUGUGAGUUGUAGAAGUAUCCAAAUGCAUCCAGCCGCUCAAUGGUAGGUGGGCAGCCUGGCUGGUGCACAGUGCGACCUUUCCUUCUUCACCGGGGCGUGUUUGAAACCUACUGCAACUUAACGAUUGCAAUCUAGCAAUCAUAUUUGUUAAGAAACUGAAGGAGCUUCAGGAAUGCCACAGAAUUCAUGAGUAACCCAGAACCAUUAAACCAAUUCUGCCACCUACAGACAUGCCAUUUGGGUAUUUGCACUAAAAUAACCCCAACUCAGCCCUGCGUAGAGCUCUCACAGAAGUGAAACUAUCAGGCAUCCCAAUUGGGGCAUCCCAGCGUGUAAACCAGAAGUACAGGAAUGUGAUGAAGGAUCAAGAUUUAAUGCAAAUUGUACAGAAAUUGAGCAAGUUUUUCUGCAAGAAACUGCACAUAUUCAGUCCAUAACCGUCUUCAUUACUCAGUUCCACUAAGGUGUAACUGAGCCCCAUGAUGCUUAAUGGGACGAAGAGGAAUUAGUUGUUUUUAACAGAUAAGUCAUGAUAACUUUUCUAUUUUUAAAUGAACAGCAGCUUUCCUAAAUUUGUGAUAAAACACUGACAUGCCUUAAAAUGUCAAAAAUAGGACCUGCUUGCCCUGUUUCCCCUAGUUUCUGUUGCAGUUUAACCGCAUGCCCGAUGCUCCCUGUCACCAUGAAAUCACACUCUGUACUACCUAGUUAUCCUACUCCUCUCAUAGAGGCAACAAGAAAAUAAACUCUGGUGUACUGGCAAAGGAUCAGAGAGAACUCUGUGAGUCCCAGGUCAACAGAGCAGACUGCAGGUCUCCUCGCAGUUUAAAAAAAGAAAAAUUUUCCAGGCUUUUUCUGUGCAGAGAUGGCUUUGAAAACCUGAAACAAUGUGAACAGACUGAGAUGGAGGAAAGGAUCCAGUGAGCUGAUCUCAGUGUGACAACAGACAGGAAGCAAGAGUUUUACUGAAGGAAGAGAAGCGCAUGAUGGCACGCCCGCACGUUCAUGCUCUUACCUCUUCAGAGGAAAUCCUGAAGAAAUCUCUCUGUCCCUUACCAUCUCCCUGGCCAUUGCCCAUCCCAUUGCAUGUUGACAGAGCAGGGAUGUGGGAGACCAAGAAAGAGUCUCCCAGCUAUCUCCUCAGCUCUGAAGAACAUCUUUACCUGGCAGGACAGAUAAUAAAAAAUCAGAAUUACUACUUUUGUGAAGAAUUCACAUUCUGUGUGUUUCUUUGCAGUUUUCCCCAAUUUCACACUUCCCAGUAGCAGCGUCUUAAAAAAUGCCUGCUCUUACUCAAAAUGACUAUACCCUUGUGUUUCUUUAGUGGAAGAUUAAAACCACUCUGCUGAUCUCAGUAACAGCACUCUUUGACAGCUUUCUAGAGUGACAAGAAAACAGUGCUAAAUAAAGAUAUUUUGGGUUCUGUGUUUUAGAAACUGUACAAGAAAUUGUGAAGAGUCUGGGGGGAGGCUGUAAGAUGCCAACAGGAAAUGGAGGACCUGCAGAAGUAUUUGGGAUGCAGAAAAAAAAAAUCUGAGAGGUGCAGAAUAAAACGGGGCCAGACUGGAACUGAAGGCGUGGGAAGAUGGAAAGGAAAUACAUGUGUAGGAGAACCUGGUGGGGUGUUGCUUCUUUAUUCUCUAAUCUGUGCUGUAAAUUCCGAAGAAAGCAGAUGGGUUGCUGAACACAACAGAAUCCUUUGUCUCUUAAAUGCGAGCUUACUUUUCUCAGAAUUGGUUUCAUUGCUGUUUUCUUUACUGUUUACAAGUAUUCAUGGUAUUAACAUAAUAACCGGAUGAAGGAUGACUGUGUCUGUUCUGCAUGAAUCUUAUUCUCUGCCCCCAGAGAGUUUUCACAGUACACAGAUAUGCAACAGUUCAAACCCUGAUGGAGGAUAAGUGAAGGGGCAUGGGAGAUCCUCUCACAAAGGACCAGCAAACGUGGCUUGGCCUUUGCUGUCAACAUGUGGGUAACAGAGAGGAGCACCAGAGAAGAAGCAGGACUACUAGCAAUGUGAAGGCUUUUCAGGAGUCUUGCAAAGGACAGGCAGUUUGUACCAUCUGCUAGAGAUGCAGGAGAACACAAAGUGCUUUGCUGAGACAUGCAUUGACUAAAUAGGAAAACGCAGGCUUGAUUCUCCCAAGUCCACCCCAGCACACCCAAAGAACAUCUGGUAAGCUAAUUCCAUAACAAGAUCAAGUUAUAUUAAUUUUUGAAACAAAUUCAUAGUGUCUUCAAAACUUAAAUUCUAUGUGAUUUUAAAAACAGCCUGCUGUUAUUUAAAAUAAAACUCCAAUAUCUGUGACAAAAUAUGUUACUCAUCUGAACUGUGUCUAUAAGCAAGCAUCUUGCCUUCCAUAGCACAAACCUGUCACUGUAACAGUCUAUCAGUUGUCCAUUGAACUCCCGUUUUCUUCCUCAUUGUAUUAAAUAAAUGAAAGCUUUAGUGAUUAGGCCACAGAAGCAAAUGACUCACUGAAUGUCUAAGUGACAGUCUAGUAACAGCAAAUCUUAGACUUUCUGAGCCAAUGCUAAGAGUUAUGAUCUGUUUGAAUGAUAAAUAUAUAUUAUGUGAUCCAUAAGGAGGUUAUCCCUUGCAGGGGACGUGACUUGCCUUCACUGAGGCACUAGAGCUACAAUGGGGACUGUUGAAGGAAAGACAUCAGUUUCUAAUGCAUCUUCUCUCUGAAAACCAGCAAAAUUCUCAUAAUACCAAGUGAUUCAUGUUUAGCAUCACUUCUGCAAUUGCCUUCUGUAUAGAGGCAUGACUGACUAUUAAAAUAUAAAACUUUGGUGAAGAAACACUUUGUUGUAUGGGACCUUGGGCUUCCUGAACCACAGCUUGAGGUGAAUAUGUUCGUAGAGGAAAACCAUCUAACACCAAUAGCCUGCUAAGUCAAUUGUGCAAUUAGAAAACCUCUCAGAAGCAGGGUAAGGAGACAAUAAAUGCUUCCUUAGGCAUUUGUACCCAUUCCGGGUUAUGAAGGGCUUUAAGAAGUCAUUCCUGAAAACAACCAACCACUCCAAGAUAAAUCUCCAGUGGGUCAGGAGUUAAUCUAGUACAGCCAUGCAGUGCGCUCCUGUUGCCUCUGUGCAGUGCAUAGGCAGUAAGUGCAGAACAUGUCAAACAAAUUUGGUGGCCUUCUAUGAUGGGGUUACAGCCUUGGUGGACAAGGGAAGAGUGACAGACAUCAUCUACCUGAACUUGUGCAAAGGAUUUGACACUGUCCUGCACGACAUCCUUGUCUCUAAAUUGAAAAGACAUGGAUUCAAUGGACAAACCACUUGGUGGAUAAGGAAUUGGCUGGAUGGUUGCCCUCAAAGAGUUGUGGUCAACGGCUCAAUGUCCAAGUGGAGAACAGUGACGAGUGGCGUUCCUCAGGGGCCAGUGCUGGGACCGGCACUGUUUAACAUCUUUGUCAGCCACAUGGACAGCGGGAUCGAGUGCACCCUCAGCAAGUUUGCUGACAACUCCAAGCUGUGUGGUGUGGGGGUAUCGAUUGAUGAGAAGCUCAACAUGAGCCGACAGUGUGUGCUUGCAGCCCAGAAAGCCAACCAUGUCCUGGGCUGCAUCAAAAGAGGUGUGACCAGCAGGUCGAGGGAGGUGAUCCUGCCCCUCUGCUCGGCUCUUGUGAGACCCCACCUGGAGUACUGCAUCCAGCUCUGGGGGCCCCAGUACAGGAGAGACAUGGAG